rnacentral:rRNA from 1 species
CGCGUAGGCGGGCGGCACAGUCAGGCGUGAAAUUCCCGGGCUUAACCUGGGGGCUGCGCUCGAUACAUGCGGUCUUGAGUGGGGAAGAGGGUCGUGGAAUUCCCAGUGUAGAGGUGAAAUUCGUAGAUAUUGGGAAGAACACCGGUGGCGAAGGCGGCGACCUGGUCCUUGACUGACGCUGAGGCGCGAAAGCGUGGGGAGCAAACAGGAUUAGAUACCCUGGUAGUCCACGCCGUAAACGAUGUGUGCUGGAUGUUGGGCGGCCUAGCCGUUCAGUGUCGUAGCCAACGCGGUAAGCACACCGCCUGGGGAGUACGGCCGCAAGGUUGAA